rnacentral:rRNA from 1 species
CCUACGGGCGGCUGCAGUGAGGAAUAUUGGUCAAUGGACGAGAGUCUGAACCAGCCAAGUAGCGUGAAGGAUGACUGCCCUCUGGGUUGUAAACUUCUUUUAUCUGGGAAUAAAAUGUUUCACGUGUGGGAUUUUGUAUGUACCAUAUGAAUAAGGAUAGGCUAACUCCGUGCCAGCAGCCGCGGUAAUACGGAGGAUCCGAGCGUUAUCCGGAUUUAUUGGGUUUAAAGGGAGCGUAGGUGGAUUGUUAAGUCAGUUGUGAAAGUUUGCGGCUCAACCGUAAAAUUGCAGUUGAAACUGGCAGUCUUGAGUACAGUAGAGGUGGGCGGAAUUCGUGGUGUAGCGGUGAAAUGCUUAGAUAUCACGAAGAACUCCGAUUGCGAAGGCAGUUCACUGGACUGCAACUGACACUGAGGCUCGAAAGUGUGGGUAUCAAACAGGAUUAGAUACCCUGGUAGUC